rnacentral:lncRNA from 1 species
GGCUCGGAGGCUGGAGCGGUGGCGGGACGGGAGCCCUCGCGGCUGUGCGGCUACUUGCAGAAGCUCUCGGGUAAGGGCCCGCUGCGCGGCUACCGCAGCCGCUGGUUCGUGUUUGACUCGCGCCGCUGCUACCUCUACUACUUCAAGAGCCCGCAGGACGCUCUACCGCUCGGCCACCUAGACAUCGCCGACGCCUGCUUCAGCUACCAGGGCCGCGAUGAGGCUGCGGAGCCAGGAGCCGAUCCGCCCACGCACUUCCAGGUGCACAGCGCCGGUGUGGUCACGGUGCUCAAGGCUCCUAAUCGGGAGCUCAUGACUUACUGGCUACAGGAGCUUCAGCAGAAAAGAUGGGAAUACUGCAACAGCCUUGACAUGG